rnacentral:rRNA from 1 species
GACGAACGCUGGCGGCGUGCUUAACACAUGCAAGUCGAACGGUGAAGCUCCAGCUUGCUGGAGUGGAUCAGUGGCGAACGGGUGAGUAACACGUGAGCAACCUGCCCCUGACUCUGGAAUAAGCGCUGGAAACGGCGUCUAAUACUGGAUACGAGAAGGGUCCGCAUGGGCACUUUCUGGAAAGUUUUUCGGUUGGGGAUGGGCUCGCGGCCUAUCAGCUUGUUGGUGAGGUAAUGGCUCACCAAGGCGACGACGGGUAGCCGGCCUGAGAGGGCGACCGGCCACACUGGGACUGAGACACGGCCCAGACUCCUACGGGAGGCAGCAGUGGGGAAUAUUGCACAAUGGGCGAAAGCCUGAUGCAGCGACGCCGCGUGAGGGAUGACGGCCUUCGGGUGGUAAACCUCUUUCAGCAGGGAAGAAGCGAAAGUGACGGUACCGGCAGAAGAAGCACCGGCUAACUACGU